rnacentral:rRNA from 1 species
CCUACGGGGCGCAGCAGUGGGGAAUAUUGCACAAUGGGGGAAACCCUGAUGCAGCGACGCCGCGUGAGUGAGGAAGAAUUUCGGUAUGUAAGCCUCUAUCAGCAGGGAAGAAAAUGACGGUACCUGACUAGGAAGCCCCGGCUAACUACGUGCCAGCAGCCGCGGUAAUACGUAGGGGGCAAGCGUUAUCCGGAUUUACUGGGUGUAAAGGGAGCGUAGACGGAGUAGCAAGUCUGUUGUGAAAAUCCGGGGCUUAACCCCGGAACUGCAUUGGAAACUGU